UACGGGGGGGGCAAGCGUUGUUCGGAAUUACUGGGCGUAAAGGGCGCGUAGGCGGUUUGCUAAGUCGAAUGUGAAAACUCUGGGCUUAACCCAGAGCCUGCAUUCGAUACUGGCAGGCUAGAGUUCUGGAGGGGAUAGCGGAAUUCCUGGUGUAGCGGUGAAAUGCGUAGAUAUCAGGAGGAACACCGGUGGCGAAGGCGGGUCUCUGGGCCGUAACUGACGCUGAGGAGCGAAAGCGUGGGGAGCGAACAGG
rnacentral:rRNA from 1 species